rnacentral:lncRNA from 10 species
CACAGAGUAUUUCCCUCUUAUUCUCUGCACCCACAGGUGUAUUCAUAGGCCAGCGGUGCACCUCUUUUGGGAUGAAAUUUGAAGAAUUCGGUCUCUAGAAUCCAUGGGCUGGAGCUGUUAAGGUUCUAUACUCCUCCCUCUCCCCAAGAGUCCGUUUCUUUCCCCCCUUGGAUUGGCUUAUUUUAUUGCUACUUCUUUGGGGAUAAAACUCUUUUUGACUGUUAGCCUGUGAGUGAAUUAACUCAUCUUUGAGCAAGAUGCGUUUCUCUUCUCCCCAGGGAAGUGUCACAAGCCCUGAGGAAGUCUCCAAGCUGGCUGGGGCUCCUGAUGAAGGAGCCCUUGAUGGAGCAGUUUGAGAAGCACUGGGUUGGAGUAGUAAUCAUCACUGAGAAGAUGACCAUAUCAGCAUUCUAUCUGCCUCCAUAACAAAUUAUCACGAAAUUGGUGGCUUAAAACAAUAUUCAUAACCUCCCAUUUCUGUAGGUCAGCGGUGUGGGCACAAUGUAGCCCAGCUGGGUCCUCUAUGCAGGGCCUCAGGGCUGGGCUCUUAAGGCUCUGGGGAAGAUCUGGCUUCCAAGCUCACUGGCCAUUGGCAGAAUGCACUUCCUUUGGCUUCCCACACAGCCACAUUGAAAACAGCAAGCAUGUGUCCAAACCCAGAGGCUUCAGGUCUCACUUCUGCUUACAGCUCCUAUGAUCACACUGGGCCGUCGGAUAAUCCAGGAUAAUCUCCCCAUUUUAAGGUCAACCCACCAGUUACCUUAAUUUCAUCUGCAAAGCCCCUCUUGCCACGUGAUAGAGCAUAACCAUGGGCAUGGCCCCAGAACGUGAAGGUCAUGGGGGCUGCAAUUCUGCCUACCACAUUGACUUCAUCAGCAACAGGUCCAGUUCGGGAUGAAUCGCCUCUGAAGGGUGCUCUGAAGUGCUCCAGCUGAAGUUUUGGCCAUCUCCGCCAGCCACACCCCACUGGGUUCCUCCUCCCCAGCUCUGGCUGUUUCGUCCCCUCUAGCCAUCGCCCACCGUCCACACUGCCAUACGGCCGCUCAGGACAUCCCAGUUCCCUCCUGCCCGAGAGCUCUCAUCUGAGGACGCGCAUCAUUCCUCAGGAAACUCUAUCUUUCCACACCACCCCCAGCUGUUCUCAGCCACCCAGAAAAAAGGAACAUAAACGCUAAUGGGGAAAAACAUGGGGACACAUCUCAUUUCACCCCACACUCCCUCAGCUCAACCUGGGAAUGUAACCUGCAGGGCAGCAAGACCAGAAGCAACACCACUCCAGUUCUCCCAAGGGCCAAUGGCAUAGCCCUUGGGUAUUCUCAGGGUUCUCUUACCCAGACAGGUGGCCAGCUAGCAGGAGUGCACACACUUCCAAAUAUCAGCUAAAGUCAAAUGAUGGCUCAAUCUUCUCCAUCUAUUAAAUCAAAUUGGUGCUAGGCUCAAUGGCCAAGGAUGCAAAGCUGGUUGUCUUUGGUCCCUUCCAAACUGUGGUCUGUGAAUGAGCAGUGGUAGGUAUUACCUUGGAGUUGCUACAUCUAUAGAGUCCCUCCUAGUGAACUGGAAUCUGCAUUUUAAUGAGAUACCCAGGUGAUCUGUAAGCACAUCCUGAAAUGCUGAGGAAAACCUGAAGUCAGCAGCAGAAAGGCGGACUCCAGCUGUGUCCAGGCAUCCUUCGUUCCGAGUCCAGUCCUUACCUGGCCCAUACAGGCCCAACUCCCAGCCACUCUUCCUCCUCCAUCAAGCACCACCUAUCUCUUGAGAUCUUUCACAAAAAUAAACUUUAGGGAAGGGUGGGACCUUUGGAAUAAUCUAGUCUUACCCCACCUCAUGGCCUCUUGCAUGUCAGCGCCAUCACCAUCAUCAUGCCACGUGCUGUGUCUCAGAGCCUGUUCCCUCCUAGUUUAAGAUCUUUGAGAAACCAUGUCUUUUCAUCUCUGUAUCCUCAAAGUCUGGCUGAUCCAGUCCGGUAUAUAGCAGGUCUGCUAAAUUGUUGUUAAACUGCCUUAAUUUCGAUAGAUGAAGCAAGCAGAGCCAGGAGAAGUUGGGGAGAUCAGCUAAGAUCACUGGGCAGUCAGGUGCUGAUCCACGUCCAAACUUCUGAACCAGGGAGGCAUACAAGAUGCUUUAGUGACUUACAUGUGUGUGCCAUUUUUAUUUGUCUCCAACACCCACCCUAUGUUGGAUGCCAUCUCAAUUCUUCUUGUGUAUUGAGAAUGAGUCUUUUAUCUAAGCUCGUUAAAACAGAAAUUCCAUCCAUAUUUACUUCAAAAGACUCAAAAAUACAAUUUAAUAGAAUACUUAAUAUGAAUUUCACAGGCACCAAAGUUUACAGCUGUUGAGGAUGAGGUCACACUGGCCCAACUAAAGUCAUGUCACCUCUCUCACAUCGUAGCAUUCUUUUAUCCUUGUUUUACACUCUUAAGAGAUAGCAUAAAGAAGAAAAUCAAAACCCAGAAAAGGUUUGCUGUAAUUACUCCAAUAAUUUCCUUCAGUGAAAAUCUCUUAUCACUAUGAUUUUAGUGACAGAGGAACAAGCAGAGCUCUGACGUGGGGCUGAGUGCCCACUACUAAAGGGCAGAGGCUGCCGCCAGGCCACCAAGGCCCAUCUGGCCAGGCAAGGCCACCCAGAGCCCUCACGUUUACUCCAAACGGCCAUUCUUGAGCCAGCUGGGUUGGGUCCCACCCCUUCUGGCUUGCACCACCACAAAGAAAACCUCAAGAAUAUCUGCUUUGCCGUUUUUUUUUUUUUUUGCAGACAGAGUCUCGCUCUGUCACCAGGCUGGAGUGCAGUGGUGUGAUCUCGACUCACUGCAACCUCCGCCUCUUGGGUUCAAGCGAUUCUUCUGCCUCAGCCUCCCGAGUAACUGGGACUACAGGCACGCACCACUACGCCCAGCUAAUUUUUAUAUUUUUAGUAGAGACGGGAUUCCACCAUGUUGGCCAGGAUGGUCUCGAUCUCUUGACCUUGUGAUCCGCCCGCCUCGGCCUCCCAAAGUGCUGGGACUACAGGCGUGAGCCACUGCGCCCGGCUGCCUUUUUUUUUUUUUAAAAAAGGAGAAAAGUAACAAUAAACAACAGCCUUAAGAAAAAACAAGAAGCAACACAGAUCAUAUGGGAAGCACAACUUUCUCAGCCAAGUAGCCCAAAUUAUCACAAAUAAUCCUACCAAGAAUACACCUAAUACUGGAGGGGAAAGAAUGCUUACACAAAACUGUUGUUUGCUUUGAAGCUUUGAAUAAGUUCCAAGUUUUUAUAUUUCACAAUUUAUAUACUUUAUUACAGUCCACAGUCUGCUAAAUAAAAGCAGUAACAAGAUAUUUCACAAACUAUUGUACAAAUUAAGUCUUAUG